rnacentral:tRNA from 1 species
GGUGGCUCAGUGGUAGAGUGCUUGCCUUCCAUGCAUGAGGUCCUAGGUUCAAUUCCUCAGCACCA